rnacentral:rRNA from 1 species
CCCUUAGAUGUUCUGGGCCGCACGCGCGCUACACUGAUGCAUUCAACGAGCCUAUCCUUGACCGACAGGUCCGGGUAAUCUUUGAAUCUGCAUCGUGACGGGGAUAGAUUAUUGCAAUUAUUAAUCUUCAACGAGGAAUGCCUAGUAGGCGCAAGUCAUCAGCUUGCGUCGAUUACGUCCCUGCCCUUUGUACACACCGUCCGUCGCUCCUACCGAUUGGGUGUGCUGGUGAAAUGUUCGGAUCGGCCGUUUGUCGCGGUUUCCGCGGCUCGUGGCUGAGAAGUUCAUUAAACCCUCCCACCGAGAGGAAGGAGAAGUCGUAACA